UACGUAGGGGGCAAGCGUUGUCCGGAAUCAUUGGGCGUAAAGCGCGUGUAGGCGGUUCGGUAAGUCUGCUGUGAAAGUCCAGGGCUCAACCCUGGGAUGCCGGUGGAUACUGUCGGGCUAGAGUGCGGAAGAGGCGAGUGGAAUUCCUGGUGUAGCGGUGAAAUGCGUAGAUAUUGGGAAGAACACCGGUGGCGAAAGCGCCUUGCUGGACCUGCACUGACACUGAGGGACGAAAGCUAGGGGAGCGAAAGGG
rnacentral:rRNA from 1 species